rnacentral:rRNA from 1 species
CCUACGGGUGGCUGCAGUGGGGAAUAUUGGACAAUGGGCGAAAGCCUGAUCCAGCCAUGCCGCGUGUGUGAAGAAGGCCUUCGGGUUGUAAAGCACUUUCAGUGGGGAAGAAAGCCUUGGGGCUAAUACCCUCGAGGAAGGACAUCACCCACAGAAGAAGCACCGGCUAACUCCGUGCCAGCAGCCGCGGUGAAUACGGAGGGUGCGAGCGUUAAUCGGAAUUACUGGGCGUAAAGCGCGCGUAGGCGGUCUGAUAAGCCGGUUGUGAAAGCCCCGGGCUCAACCUGGGAACGGCAUCCGGAACUGUCAGGCUAGAGUGCAGGAGAGGAAGGUAGAAUUCCCGGUGUAGCGGUGAAAUGCGUAGAGAUCGGGAGGAAUACCAGUGGCGAAGGCGGCCUUCUGGACUGACACUGACGCUGAGGUGUGAAAGCGUGGGUAGCAAACAGGAUUAGAUACCCGUGUAGUC